UACGAAGGGGGCUAGCGUUGCUCGGAAUCACUGGGCGUAAAGCGCACGUAGGCGGAUCUUUAAGUCAGGGGUGAAAUCCUGGAGCUCAACUCCAGAACUGCCUUUGAUACUGGGGAUCUCGAGUCCGGAAGAGGUGAGUGGAACUCCGAGUGUAGAGGUGAAAUUCGUAGAUAUUCGGAAGAACACCAGUGGCGAAGGCGGCUCACUGGUCCGGUACUGACGCUGAGGUGCGAAAGCGUGGGAGCAAACAGGG
rnacentral:rRNA from 1 species